UACGAGGGGGGCAAGCGUUGUUCGGAAUUAUUGGGCGUAAAGGGUGCGUAGGCGGUUUGGUAAGUCUUAUGUGAAAUCUACAGGCUCAACUUGUAGUCUGCAUGAGAAACUGCCGGGCUUGAGUAUGGGAGAGGUGAGUGGAAUUCCUGGUGUAGCGGUGAAAUGCGUAGAUAUCAGGAGGAACACCUGUGGCGAAAGCGGCUCACUGGACCAUAACUGACGCCGAUGCACGAAAGCUAGGGGAGCAAACAGG
rnacentral:rRNA from 1 species